rnacentral:lncRNA from 1 species
CAAAUCACAAGGUCAUUUAGUUGCAGAACUGGGACAGGAAUUCAUGCCCAGUUCUCUUUUCAAAACCCUGUGGAAAAAAGAAGCACAUUGAAUUUAGCCUUUGAUUCGUCAUCAGCAUUAUCAGAGAUGAGGUGCAUUUUUUUUAAGAGAAAUGUUGGAAACAACCUACUGAAGAAAGGCUAAGACUCCUACAUCAGAUUACCAAUGCACUUUGUCAUAAAUAUUUCAGAAUGCCUAUGAGAAAAAGAAUAAAGCUAAAUCAAGUCCAGAAUACAGAGACAAAUCACUGCUGCAUUGACAGAGUUCUCAACAUUCAUCAAAUUAUACAAUAGUCAGAGGAGUUUCCUGUGGAUAUAAGGUCCAUUUGAAUCCUUAAGAAAAAGAGUGGAUAUUGAAGAAAUAUGUUCUUUAUUCUGAGCAGAAAGGCCAGCAAAAAAGAUAAUGGAUUUGCCAAAAUAUAUCAGGACAAUACUAUUAGCCAUAGGUAAUUGGAUGAUAAAAAUUGCUGUUACCUUUAUGUGCUUUUGAAACUCUACAUGAUUUUCUUUGCAAAAAGGUCAUUAAUAAAAAAUUGCAUAAUUUAAUGGGUUUCAUCUCAUUUUUGUAGUUCAAAUCAAUCACCUCAAUGGCAAUCAG